GAGAUGCAUUGGGUUCAUGUGUUCAACAAGGAGCAAAUCAUGUGAUAGUAAGCCCCUUGUUUCUCUUUCCUGGACGGCACUGGCAUCAGGAUAUUCCUUCCUCAACUGCUAAUGCUGCAAAAGAGUAUCCUGGUGUAGCAUACAUCAUAACUGCUCCUCUUGGCUUGCACAAGCUCCUUGUGGAUAUUCCUUAACUGCUAAUGCUGCAAAAGAAUAUCAUGGUGUACCAUGCAUCAUUACUGCACAAGCUCCUUGUGCAACGACCGACCAUCCUUGCUCGAUGUUGAUUCCUACAUAUGGUUUUCGACAACCACCAACAGCAGUCAACAACAGGAGGGAGCAUAUUUAAUCAUUUCAACCUCCCAUUGAUC